UACGUAGGCAGCGAGCGUUGUUCGGAGUUACUGGGCGUAAAGAGUGCGUAGGCGGUGCUCUAAGUUUGGUGUGAAAUCUCCCGGCUCAACUGGGAGGGUGCGCCGAAAACUGGAGUGCUCGAGUAUGGGAGAGGUAAGCGGAAUUCCUGGUGUAGCGGUGAAAUGCGUAGAUAUCAGGAGGAACAUCUGCGGUGUAGACGGCUUACUGGACCAUGACUGACGCUGAGGCACGAAAGCGUGGGGAGCAAACAGG
rnacentral:rRNA from 1 species